rnacentral:rRNA from 1 species
UACGGAGGAUCCAAGCGUUAUCCGGAAUCAUUGGGUUUAAAGGGUCCGUAGGCGGUUUAGUAAGUCAGUGGUGAAAGCCCAUCGCUCAACGGUGGAACGGCCAUUGAUACUGCUAGACUUGAAUUAUUAGGAAGUAACUAGAAUAUGUAGUGUAGCGGUGAAAUGCUUAGAGAUUACAUGGAAUACCAAUGCGAAGGCAGGUUACUACUAAUGGAUUGACGCUGAUGGACGAAAGCGUGGGUAGCGAACAGG